rnacentral:lncRNA from 1 species
AUGGCACUUUCAAGCUUGUCCCCUGGCUGUAGGUCAGCCCUCCUGCCCACCCCCUGUGGCCCACAGGCAUACAGGCUGUACAACUCCUCCCUGCCACAGGAUAGCUGUCCAGACCUCCAGCUGCCUUUUGCCAUGAAAAGGAGGGAUGUCCCCAGGAUUGAGCUGGCCAGUGAGGACGAAGUCUCCAUCUCCUGUUACGUGCCCACCGGCCUCUUCAGCCUGACUUUGUGCCUCUGGCACCAUGGCAUAUCCACAGGUCUUCUGGACACCAUGGAUAAUGAAGCAGGCACUGAUCUGAUGUUGCCGGAUGGCUCUGUGGCCCACAGCCUGGAGGAGCUCAGCCUGGCCUGGCAGGUGAGCAGGUGCACCUGUCCUUCUUCCCUCUGGCUGAGUCUCUUGAGGGCUGCUCACUGCAGAGUCCCAGGAGAAGCAGGUGGCCUGCUGGCUCUGCAGAGAUCUUUGCAGACCCAGGUUUGGGGGGAGUCUCCUGCUGAGGCCGAUGUACGUGGGGGAGCAACAUGGUCCAGCAGGAGGCCUGAGCCUUGCAUCUGUCCCACCAGGUGGAUGGUGACUGCAGGGCCACCGAGAAGACUCAGCCAACCUGCCCAGGACAGAGCCCCGCCUGUCGGGACUUCUUCCAGGAUCCCCCUCUAGCUUGGGGAACUGCAUCUGGGUGCUGCUCAUCCUGAUGUGCUCCCUAAUAAACACCUGAACACCAAGAUCUGUCUUAGAAUCUGUGUCCUGUGAACAAUUCCUACAAUACCAAGUGAAUUAUUCAAGUUCCUCCAGCCAACAAGGACAGAAGUGAAACAUAGAUUCAUCUUUCUGACCCUAG